CUCGCGAGAGUAAGCUAAUCUCUUAGAGCCGUUCUCAGUUCGGACUGUAGGCUGCAACUCGCCUACACGAAGUCGGAAUCGCUAGUAAUCGCGGAUCAGCAUGCCGCGGUGAAUACGUUCCCGGGCCUUGUACUCACCGCCCGUCACACCAUGGGAGUUUGUAACGCCCAAAGUCGGUGGCCUAACCUUUAUGGAGGGAGCCGCCUAAGGCGGGACAGAUGACUGGGGUGAAGUCGUAACAAGGUAGC
rnacentral:rRNA from 1 species